CCAAGACAUUCUAUAGUUCUGUGAUUCUAUAAUUCUGUGAUUCUGUGAUUCUAUGAUUUUAUAAUAGUAUGAUUCUGAUUCUGUGAUUCUGUGAUUAGAGUCCUGGUGUGGGCUCAAGCACUGAAGUGUGGUCAUCCAUGCUCUUAGCCCUCUGGCAGAAUGUGAGCUGUAAAUUAUUGGAGUUGUCUUCACCUGAAUCUGAAACACUGGGAAGAGUGGACCCUGCUGUGCAGUGGAAGAACAUUUGUUCCAGAUGCUGCACCCAUAAACAAGGACUUUUGUAUAUUUGGGGUACAUUGCUAAAACACAUUCAGUUUUGCUACCAGAUUUGUGGCAAAUCAGUAGAGAGGAAGAAACAAAGGCAUAGAAAGUAGCACAAAUGUAGAAUAUAAAUAAAAGGAAUUGAAGGACAAAGCCUUAAACUAAU
rnacentral:lncRNA from 1 species